rnacentral:rRNA from 1 species
GGGGAAUCUUGCACAAUGGGGGCAACCCUGAUGCAGCGACGCCGCGUGAGCGAUGAAGCCCUUCGGGGCGUAAAGCUCUUUCGACCGGAACGAUAAUGACGGUACCGGGAGAAGAAGCUGCGGCUAACUACGUGCCAGCAGCCGCGGUAAUACGUAGGCAGCAAGCGAUGUUCGGAGUUACUGGGCGUAAAGAGUGCGUAGGCGGUUUUGUAAGUUCGGAGUGAAAUCUCCCGGCUUAACUGGGAGGGUGCGCCGAAGACUGGGAAGCUGGAGUGUGGGAAAGGCAGGCGGAAUUCCUGGUGUAGCGGUGAAAUGCGUAGAUAUCAGGAGGAACACCGGCGGUGUAGACGGCUUGCUAGACCAUAACUGACGCUGAGGCACGAAAGCGUGGGUAGCAAACA